GUGAAUUGAAUAUGUUAGCGGACCCUCUUCGGAGUCCCUAGCAUCAAAUCAUAUCCAUAACACCUGUGAACUGUAAGGCUGUCUUGAGAACGAAAGUGAUUAGAGCGCCCCGCCCAUUUUAUACAAACAUUAAAGUAACAAACGUAGUCUUAUUAUAAUCUAAUA
rnacentral:misc_RNA from 1 species